CCUACGGGAGGCAGCAGUGGGGAAUAUUGGACAAUGGGGGAAACCCUGAUCCAGCAAUGCCGCGUGAGUGAUGAAGGCCUUAGGGUCGUAAAGCUCUUUUACCAGGGAUGAUAAUGACAGUACCUGGAGAAUAAGCUCCGGCUAACUCCGUGCCAGCAGCCGCGGUAAUACGGAGGGAGCUAGCGUUGUUCGGAAUUACUGGGCGUAAAGCGUGCGUAGGCGGUUAUUCAAGUCAGAGGUGAAAGCCCGGGGCUCAACCCCGGAACGGCCUUUGAAACUAGAUAACUAGAAUCUUGGAGAGGUCAGUGGAAUUCCGAGUGUAGAGGUGAAAUUCGUAGAUAUUCGGAAGAACACCAGUGGCGAAGGCGACUGACUGGACAAGUAUUGACGCUGAGGUACGAAAGCGUGGGGAGCAAACAGGAUUAGAUACCCUGGUAGUCCACGCCGUAAACGAUGAUAACUAGCUGUCCGGACACUUGGUGUUUGGGUGGCGCAGCUAACGCAUUAAGUUAUCCGCCUGGGGAGUACGGUCGCAAGAUUAAAACUCAAAUGAAUUGACGG
rnacentral:rRNA from 1 species